UAAAAAUCCUUCUGUAGCGGAAAAUAUGUUUUAUGAAUUGGAAAUGUAAUUUAAAAAAACAAUGUUUUGAUUCAAUCGUAAUGCACACGCAGAAACAAGAGUAAAUCCCCAAGCAGCGGUAGAACACGGAAGCAGCUAGCUGCCUUUGCCCGAACAGUCGUCCCAAGACCUCACAUCAACUUGCUAAGAACACAACUCCCUCAAGUUGUAGCGGUUUAACGAGCGGGUGUUGCCGUUUUCCCGUCUUCAACCCCCACGCCUCUCCAGAUCAGAGAGACAGGGCUGGUGGUGCCUAUGCAAACGCAGUAAAUUGUCAAGGAUCUCUCCGGCACAGACAUCAACGUUAUCAACACAUCGUCAGACGGAGUGCCGUCUUUGGAGGGGGCUCUGAGGAGGCCCGGGCCGUGGACGGGCGCCAGCGCCUUCCCCCCGCGGGCCCGCCAGUCUGUUUGGCCGCUUUCGCAUCAGAACCGAUGCCGCACUGCGGAGCGCGCCUGCGUCGCGUUUCAGGACGUCCGCGGAGUGCCGAGCCCGCCCCUGUCUGAGCCUCACGGACCGCCGGGCGCUCGGCUGGUUUGAGCGCUUAUCCCGUGACCCCAGAAUGUUGACUUGGACCCACCGGGGAGCUGGUAUCGGAUCGGUCAUCUUGGGACACGGUGGCUGACGCAGUGACGGACACGUGACAACGACCCGUGAAUAUACCACCGAUAGCAUCGCCCCCUAGCUGGGCUGGGCCUGGUCUAAUUGACUGCGGCUGUUAGAAAAUCAUUACUUUUUUUGGAUUGUACAUGCACACAUAGCAACAAACACACUGUCGUGCACACAUACACACACAUAUAUGUAAAUUAGACAUGUAUUUAUGUGUAUGUGUGUGUACAGUAUAUGUGAAAUACAGUCAUCUAUAUUUGUAAAGUGCAAUUCAUGAAUUGCACUACUAUUCAAAAGUGCUGCACUUUCAAAUAUGAAUAUAACAACACUGAACACACUGUAAUUCAGAACAGUAGUGAAUAAAAAAAUAGAAGGGCAUAAACAUACAAGCAGUAGUAAAAGCAAUGUAACAUUCUAAACUUAAAAUUCUAUGCAGCAAAAGUGCACCUUAACCAUACAAAUGAGGAAAAGGAAAAUAACGCAUGACACACACACACAGGGUGCAUAUAUGUGUGCCCUAUGCAUGUGUUAUGUGUUCAUUUCUCGUCUCUCUUCCUUUUCCCCCUGCAUCCCUAUCUCUUGAAAAGCAUUCGUUUGACAUCCUUGAGAUAUGCACCAAGGAGUGCUUGGGGCAAGUCAUUUAAAUAAAAUGACAUCAAACACAACUUAUACUAGGCUUGUUUUUUUUAUAAGAUGCAUCACAGUGUUUUGCUUAUCCUUUUGAAUUCUUUAACCCUAUUUAUUUAUUUAUUUAUUUAUUUUAUUUUUUUGAUUUGUUAAAUAAUUCCUUUUUUUCUGCUCAGUAGUGGUAGAACCAAUGAAGUAUGAUGUCAAUGCAAAAAAACAAUUUCAGUAAAAGAUUGGUAAUGCACAA